rnacentral:snRNA from 1 species
CUGAUCACCUAUACGGUUGCG